rnacentral:rRNA from 1 species
AUACGUAGGGGGCGAGCGUUGUCCGGAAUGAUUGGGCGUAAAGGGCGCGUAGGCGGCCCGGUAAGUCUGGAGUGAAAGUCCUGCUUUUAAGGUGGGAAUUGCUUUGGAUACUGUCGGGCUUGAGUGCAGGAGAGGUAAGUGGAAUUCCCAGUGUAGCGGUGAAAUGCGUAGAGAUUGGGAGGAACACCAGUGGCGAAGGCGACUUACUGGACUGUAACUGACGCUGAGGCGCGAAAGCCAGGGGAGCGAACGGGAUUAGAUACCCCGGUAGUCCUGGCCGUAAACGAUGAAUGCUAGGUGUGGGUGUCGAGAGGCAUCCGUGCCGGAGUUAACGCGAUAAGCAUUCCGCCUGGGGAGUACGAUCGCAAGAUUGAAACUCAAAUGAAUUGGCGGGG